AUGUCAAAACAGAAGAAAAAAGUAGAUGCAAUUCAGUAUGAUUAUUACGACAGCGAAGAUGAACUUUUCAUUGGAACAGUUAGUGUAGACAGUGUUCAACAGUGUGAAGAAUGGAAAGAAUCUAUGUCAAUAAACAACAAGUCCGUAGUUUUUAAACUUGAUACAGGAGCUCAGGCAAAUAUCAUAUCAGAAAAACUAUUUCGUAAAUUGUCGUUGCCGGAUAACAAGAUAACCGAGAAGACCAGUAUUAAACUCGUAACAUACGAUGGACACAAAAUAUCGCCGAUUGGUACAAGAAUGUUAAAGUGUACAUUCAAAGACAGAAAAUACAAUCUGAAAUUUUUCAUAGUACCGACCGAUUCACAGCCAAUAUUGAGUGCCGACACAUGUAGCGAAAUAGGAGCGAUUGUACGAGUGCGCGCCGUAGAUAAACCACUGACAAAAGAAGAAGUAAUAAGUGAUUAUGGUGAAACAUUUAAAGGACUAGGUACAUUGUCAAAAACACAUCAUAUUGAAGUAGAUCCUCUUAUUCCGUCCGUAGUUCACCCGCCGCGUAAAAUUCCAGCAGCACUUCGUGAUCAAGUCCGAACAGAAUUAGACCGUAUGGAGAGCCUCGGUGUCAUCGCAAAACAGGACGAGCCGACCGAUUGGGUUCAUAGUAUGGUAGUAGUUAGGAAACCUGGAAAACUACGCGUGUGUAUAGAUCCGAAAGAUUUGAAUCGUGCGAUCAAGCGUGAACAUUAUCACUUAGAAACAAUUGAUGAGAUUGUUGAAAGAUUGCCUAAAGCAAGCGUCUUUUCCCGAUUUGAUGCAACACAUGGAUUCUGGCAGAUUCGUCUUGACGAGGAUAGUUCAAAACUUUUAACUUUCAAUACGCCAUUUGGACGUUAUCGAUACCGUAGAUUACCGUUUGGUAUAAGUUCCGCACCGGAAGUCUUCUCGAAAGCUGUCCGAGAAAUGUUUGUAGACCUUUCGGGGGUCGAAUGUAUCGUUGAUGAUAUUCUUGUUUGGGGAGAGAAUGAUGAACAACACGAUGACCGCGUUCGUAAGAUGCUCAACAGAUGCCAGCAAAUGAACUUUAAGCUAAAUAAAGCGAAAUUUGAGUUGCGCGUACCGGAAGUCCAUUACGUUGGACAUGUUAUAAGCAAAGACGGCUUAAAAGUUAAUCCGGAAAAAGUGCGUGCCAUACAAGAAAUGCCAGCACCGACCGAUGUGGCAGGAGUUAAAAGGUUCCUUGGUAUAGUACAAUAUUUGGCCAAGUUCAUACCUAAUCUAUCAAAUGUUUCCGAUCCGCUCCGCAAACUACUAAAAAAUGACAUUCAAUGGCAUUGGGAUCAUGAGCAACACCAAAGUUUCGAAGAACUUAAGCAGUUAGUAGCAGCUCCCGUGUUACGAUUCUAUAAUGUGAAUGAACCUGUAACGAUAUCAGUUGAUGCAAGCUCUAAAGGUCUUGGAGUUGUACUUCUACAAAAUAAACAGCCCGUGGCAUACGGAUCCAGAGCUCUCACCGAGACGCAAAGUAGAUAUGCGCAAAUCGAGCGUGAAAUGUUAGCAAUCUUGUACGGUUGCGAAAAGUUUGAUCAUUAUAUUUACGGUCGCCGAGCCAUUAUUGAAACCGACCAUAAGCCGUUAGUUGCAAUCUACGACAAACCGCUUUAUCGAGCUACACCACGUUUACAACGCAUGUUAAUGAAACUACAGCGAUAUGAUUUACGGAUUGUGUACGUUCCUGGAAAACUUAUGUUUAUAUCCGAUGCACUUAGCAGAGCCUAUCUACCAGAUAGCAAUGACAAACUUAUUGAUGAUGAACUUGAUAUUAGUUACAUUGAAAAACAACUACCUAUUUCGUCUAGAAAGAUAGCGGAAAUCAAAGACGCGACCGAAGCCGAUGAAAAUCUGAGAAAGUUAAGUUCCGUCGUUGUGUCAGGAUGGCCAAACAGUAAGGAAAUGUUACCCGAUGACAUUCAGUCUUAUUGGAAUUUCAGGGAUGAAAUAACUGUGAUUGAUGGACUACUUUACAAAAGCCAACGUAUAUUCAUACCUAAAUCACUUCAACGAGAGAUGUUAGUGAAAUUGCACGAAGCACAUCUUGGCAUUGUUAAGACAAAACAGCGUGCCCGUGAAAUACUAUUCUGGCGUAAUAUGAACAGUGAUAUUGAAAACUUCAUUAAAAACUGUAGCAUAUGUAACAAGUUUAAAAAGGCAAACUGUAGAGAACCGCUCAAAUCUCAUGAUAUUCCGUCGCGUCCGUGGACAAAGUUAGGAGCAGAUUUACUGGAGUUCAAAGGAAAGCAUUAUUUACUUUGUGUAGACUAUUACUCUAAAUAUCCAGAAAUUGCAUUGCUUCCGUCAUUGUCUAGUGUAUCGACAAUUUCAGCAUUUAAGUCCAUGUUUGCCAGGCAUGGUGUUCCGUCAGAAGUUGUAAGUGACAAUGGACCGCAAUUUGCGUGUGCUAAUUUCAAGGACUUUUCACAUGAAUGGGACUUUAUUCACACAACUUCAAGUCCGCGUUAUGCUCAAUCCAACGGAGAAGCUGAACGUUAUGUACAAACAAUUAAGGAUAUGUUCAAGAAAGCCGAAGAAGGACAAAGUGACAUUUACAUUUCCUUAAUGGAGUACCGUGCAUCUCCUAUCGAAGGAGUAGGACUUUCACCCGCACAGUUGUUGUUUAACCGACAGUUGAAAACAAAACUUCCCAUGUCAACGGAACUUCUCGAGCCGAAAGCUUUUGGAUCAUAA
rnacentral:sRNA from 1 species